GACACUUUGGCCGAGUGGUCAAGGCGUAUCCCUGCUAAGGAUAUCUGAGAAAUCAGGCGUGAGUUCGAAUCUCACAGGUGUCG
rfam:Pseudozyma flocculosa PF-1 unplaced genomic scaffold scaffold00027, whole genome shotgun sequence.